GGAGGAUGCGCGUUGUUGGUGGUGGAGGAAGAGGAGCUUGGCGUCGUCGAUGGUGCUCUUCUGUGCCUUGUGCCGCUCUGCCAUGGCUCGCCACAUCCGGGAAAGCCUGAACAAUGCAACAACAACAACAGCUCAACAUGCUUCUCAAUGCUGCACGAGUCUUGUCGACAGAGGAAGGCUCCUCCCCUCUCACAUCCUGGUUCCUCAAAUGUGUCAUCCUCUUCUCGUACUCUAUUCUUAACCGCUCACCCACCUACAAGCAACAAAGAGUGGAGUGGUGACUUCCAGACAUUGUGCUGCAAGAUUCUUCAGAGUAACAGCUGCUUGUGUCAUUGUCAAAGAGAUCAUCUAUUGAGUUAGAGGAAGCAAGAAGGAACCGGGAAGAUGAUGACCGGGUUGAUGCAGAGCGCAAAAGUGCAACUGGGUUUAGCAUCUUUACUGCAUUAUGAAAUUCAUGAGUAAGUUUAGAGAGUGAAAUCUGAAAUAUUUUAAGUAACUCAAGUGUUGGUUUGUAAAAGUGGUACCAGAAAGAUCGCUUGAGGCUGUGUAUUGAGCUCUACUUGCCUCCAACAUCCGCGAGACUUCCUGAGCAGCAUUGCAAAUACCCAAGAACUGACUGUCAA